UACGAAGGGGGCUAGCGUUGUUCGGAAUUACUGGGCGUAAAGCGUAUGUAGGCGGAUCGUUAAGUCGGGGUGAAAUCCCGAGGCUCAACCUCGGAACUGCCUUCGAUACUGGCGAUCUUCGAGUCCGGGAGAGGUGAGUGGAACUCCGAGUGUAGAGGUGAAAUUCGUAGAUAUUAGGAAGAACACCAGUGGCGAAGGCGGCUCACUGGUCCGGUACUGACGCUGAGGUGCGAAAGCGUGGGGAGCAAACAGG
rnacentral:rRNA from 1 species